rnacentral:rRNA from 1 species
GACGAACGCUGGCGGCGUGCUUAACACAUGCAAGUCGAACGGAAAGGCCCUGCUUGCAGGGUACUCUAGUGGCGAACGGGUGAGUAACACGCGGGUGUUCUGCCCUGCACUUCGGGAUAUGCCUGGGGAACUGGGUCUAAUACAGCGGAGGAGCCCUUCUUCGUGUGGUUGGUGGAAGGUUUUUUCGGUCUGGGAUGGGCUCGCGGCCUAUCUGCUUGUUGGUUGGGUAAUGGCCUACCAAGGCGGCGGAGGGUAGCCGGCCUGGGAGGGUGGACGGCCAAAUUGGGGAUGGGAAAAGGCCCAGACUCCUAAGGGAGGGAGCAGGGGGGAAUAUUGCACAAUGGGGGGAAGCCUGAUGCAGCGAAGGCGCGGGGGGGAGGACGGGCUUCGGGUUGUAAACUCCUUUCGGUAGGGACGAAGCUUUUUGUGACGGUACCUAGAGAAGAAGCACCGGCUAACUACGUG